rnacentral:rRNA from 1 species
UACGUAGGCAGCGAGCGUUGUUCGGAUUUACUGGGCGUAAAGCGUGCGUAGGCGGUUUUGUAAGUUUGGUGUGAAAUCUCCCGGCUCAACUGGGAGGGUGCGCCGAAAACUGCAAGGCUGGAGUGUGGGAGAGGUAGGCGGAAUUCCUGGUGUAGCGGUGAAAUGCGUAGAUAUCAGGAGGAACACCUGUGGUGUAGACGGCUUACUGGACCAUGACUGACGCUGAGGCACGAAAGCGUGGGGAGCAAACAGG